UGUAGUUUGACAUAUUAUACAUACAUGGAGAAUAACUUCUUCUAAUUCGGAUCCCUUCUGAGGUUGUGCAUGAUGUAGAGUUUCACUAGUCGUGUAUUCAUACAUAUGAACAUGGAAAAAUCAUGUCUGAUUCCUUCUAUUGUCUUUCCCAUUACCAUCCCCCUCCCUUCCCUUCAUUCUCUUUUGAUCCAAUGGACUUCUAUUUCUUCCCCUCCCCACUCUCCCUUGGUGUGGAUUAGCAUCCACAGAUCAGAGAGAACAUUUGGCCUUUGGUUUGGGGGCACUGGCUUAGAGAGUUUGUAUUAUAUGCCCCACUCUGCAACUCAAGACACUGAGGCGAUUACAGAGG
rnacentral:lncRNA from 1 species